rnacentral:rRNA from 1 species
CAGUAGCCGCGGUAAUACAGAGGGUGCGAGCGUUAAUCGGAUUUACUGGGCGUAAAGCGUGCGUAGGCGGCUUCUUAAGUCGGAUGUGAAAUCCCUGAGCUUAACUUAGGAAUUGCAUUCGAUACUGGGAAGCUAGAGUAUGGUAGAGGAUAGUGGAAUUUCCGGUGUAGCAGUGAAAUGCGUAGAGAUCGGAAGGAACAUCUGUGGCGAAGGCGACUAUCUGGGCCAACACUGACACUGAGGCACGAAAGCGUGGGGAGCAAACAGGAUUAGAUACCCCUGUAGUCCCUGUCUCUUAUAC